UACGUAGGGCGCAAGCGUUGUCCGGAAUUAUUGGGCGUAAAGAGCUCGUAGGCGGUUUGUCGCGUCUGCUGUGAAAACCUAAGGCUCAACCUUGGGCUUGCAGUGGGUACGGGCAGACUAGAGUGUGGUAGGGGAGACUGGAAUUCCUGGUGUAGCGGUGAAAUGCGCAGAUAUCAGGAGGAACACCGAUGCGAAGGCAGGUCUCUGGGCCACUACUGACGUGGAGAAAGCGAAAGCAUG
rnacentral:rRNA from 1 species